GAACGCACAUUGCGCCCGCCAGCAUCCUGGCGGGCAUGCCUGUCCGAGCGUCAUUUCAACCCUCAGGGCCCGUCCGCGGGACCUGGCGUUGGGGAUUGGCCGCGCCCAUGGAGGCCGGCCGGCCCUGAAAUACAGUGGCGGUCACGUCGCGACCUCCCCCGCGUAGUAGAACUCACCUCGCGGCGGGAAGGCGGCGCGGCCACGCCGUGAAACCCCCUACUUCUCAAGGUUGACCUCGGAUCAGGUAGGAAUACCCGCUGAACUUAAG
rnacentral:misc_RNA from 1 species